GCGAACUGCGUGCCGGGAGCAGCGGGAAUGCGGAGGGGGCGGGCGGUAAUCGGAAUUACGUGGCUUAAAGCGGGUGCAGGCGGUUUUGGAAGCCAGAUGUGAAAUCCCCGGGCUUAACCUGGGAAUGGCAUUUGGGACUGCAAGGCUGGAGUGCGGCAGAGGAGACUGGAAUUCCUGGUGUAGCAGUGAAAUGCGUAGAUAUCAGGAGGAAUACCGAUGGCGAAGGCAGGUCUCUGGGCUGACACUGACGCUCAUGCACGAAAGCGUGGGGAGCAAACAGGAUUAGAUACCCGUGUAGUC
rnacentral:rRNA from 1 species